GGAGCGUGAAAGGAUGAAUGAAAAGUCAGGUGCCGGAGCGGGCAGGGGCCAGAGCAGCAGCAGAGGUCGGAGACAGUGGGCACUCUGGCCCCCAGCCCAGAUCGAACCCGGAGCCCAGAGCCUGGCUCUCGGAAUUCGGGCUGCCCGGUCGGGUCGCAGGACCUCGCAGGAAAGCUCGGAUGGCCGCCCGGGGCUCCACGAACUGUUUGUAUAACUAGAAUUCCAUUACAUAUAAGAUUUCUUUUAAGAAGAGAGAAGCCAGGCCAGAGCACCUACAUUCCCAGACCUCCUGCAUGCAAGUCCUGUACUCUGCCUCUGAGCCAUCUCCCCAACAGCUGGAAGCCAAAUUCUAGAUUAAUUGCUGCUGCUACCUCCCCUCCUCCUCCUCCUCUUCUUUUUUUUUUAAUGGUUCUGGGUACUGAACCCAAGGCCUCACAGAUUCACGGUAUAUGCCCUGCCACUGAGCUCUAGCCCCAGCCCUAAAUUCUAUUCUUGGUUUUUGUUUUGCUUUGACCAGUGUACUACUCAACUUUGGUAUAUGGUGGUGCUGAGAAUUGAACUUGGGACCUCAGAGAUAGACACAGCAUUGUAGCUUCUCCAGUACCACCAAAGCAUUAACUAUCCUUGUGGUGUUAGGGCUCCAGCCUAGAUCCUGUACAUGGCAUGAUGGGUGGGUCUCUGCUGAGCUAUAGUUCUCCAGUCCUUUUCCCCUCUGCUUUUAAAGGUUUUUAUUUAUUUGAUGCAGGACAUAAAGUUUCACCUGAGAGAGGGGAACCAGAGCACCACUCACGGGAAGCCUCAGCCAGGCAAGUUUUGCAUGCUAUCAGCUAAGCCACCUCCCCAACUUCCCAUUUCUCUCCUCAGCUGUUCACCUCAAUUCCCUCCUACUACAUUCUGAUUCCAGGAAUUCAAAGGCAAUUUUCUCCUAAUAUUUGGCCUGAUUUUUGCUUUUUCCCUCACACCCUUACCCUAGCACCAAUGUUUCCUAGUUUUAGACACCACAUUUAAAAGGUGUUACUAAAAGGUCCUUAGAGUUACUGAGCAGGAACUAAUGACAAUCAGAACAGACUUCCAUAGUGAGGGAAAGAAAUCCAGAGUUGGGCAGUAGGGUAGUGCAGUGGAUUAAGUGCAGGUAGCACAAAGCACAAGGACAGGCAUAAGGAUUCCGGUUCGAGCCCCUGGCUCCCCACCUGCAGGGGAGUUGCUUCACAGGUGGUGAAGCAGGUAUACAGGUGUCUUUCUCUCCCCCUCUCUGUCUUUCCCUCAUCUCUCCAUUUCUCUCUGUCCUAUCUAACAACGAUGAUAUCUAUAACAACAACAUUAAUAAUUACAACAGCAAUAAAAAAAACAGCAAGGGCAAUAAAAGGGAAAGUAAAUAAAUUUUUUUUAAAAAGAAUUUAUACCCUUGGGCCAGGGUGGUGGCAUAGUGGUCCUGUAAGAGACUUACCUGCUCUGAGGUCCCAGAUUCACAAGCACUGCUGUGAGCCAGAGAUGAGCAAUACUCUGGUAAAAUAAUAAAAUUAAAUUAAAAAUAGGCGCCAGGCAGUGGCACACCUGGUUAAGAGCACAUAGUAUAGUGUGCAAGGAUGCAGUUUCAAGCCCCUGGUCCCCACCUGCAAAGGGAAAGCUUCACAAGUGGUGAGACAGGGCUGCAGGUGUCUCUAUGUCUCUCUCCCUCUCUAUCUCCCCAACCCUCUCAAUUUCUCUCUAUCUGUAUCCAAUAAUAGAUAAAUAAUAUUUUUUAAAAAUAAAAAAUUAAAUCAAUCAAUACAGUAAGUCUGGGAGAAGCGAACGGUCCUUGGGAAGCAUGUUAUGGGAAGAAGAGUAAAGGAAUGUGGUAGAAUGACCGUUGCGUUCAUUCUCCUUAAAGGAUCUCACCAUUUUUUGGUAAGAGUACUUAGGAUAGACAGAAAAAAAUGAAAUGUGUAGUCACUAACCCCCCCCCCCUUUUCUUUACUUUCUAACCAGAGCACUAUUCCCUAUUCCUUUCUGACUCAUGGUGGUCGUGGGAAUUGAAUCUGGAACCUCAGAGCCUCAGGAUCAAUGAGGGUUUUUUUGCAUCACCACUGAACCCUCUUUAUCACAGACACUAAGGAUAGAACUUUUCUUUUUUCUUGGCCACACUUCUCCAACAUACAUACACUCUGACUCCCAAGAUGCAUAACCCACAAGCAAAGCCCAGAUCCCUUUCUAUUCUUCUAUGUUAGAUGUUCUCCUUGGAAGUUUGCACUUCCUUGGGUUCCAGAUGUUUCAUUCAUUCAUUCCCAGGCUGAUGUUCUAAGGGCCUCCUUUGCUACCUCCAAAGCACUGUAGAGAAAGAGACUGAGCUUCACUGAGGCUGACUGUUAUUUUUGAAACAAUGGAAGAACAGGGUUAUGGAAGGUGAAGGUAGGUUGGUGCGAAUUCAGAGAGCAGAAAGUUGAGAGAAAAGGGGAACCCUUCCUUGCUGCCAAGUCUCUCCUCCAGGGCUCUGAGUGCUACCCCCCUCCUUUUGCCCUAAUCCCCCCAUUAAGGCUGCUCUGUGUUUGUUAUGACAGCGGCUGAAGGCGGCUGAAUCGCUGUUUGCCAUGUCUGCUAAUUGGACUGAAGGGUUGGGAUCUGGACACUGAAAAGGACCAUUGUUGCUGUUUACCUUCCACAGCUGCCUCCCUGGAGACCUUCUGGGUGAAGGGGAGCAGCAUGUCCUCAGGGUCGUUGCACCCUGUCCCUAUCUGCACAGAGGACUGAGGUGGAGAGACACUCUCAUUACCUUGGGGGUGGUUUGAGGCUCCAUAGCUCCAGAGACCAGCCUGACACCUGAGUCCAUCUACAAGCCAGGCAUGGAGUUGUCUGGAGCACCAGGAGAGGAGAAUGCUACACUUGAGCUUCUGUCUCUCAUUUGUCCCCCUGUCACUUGUCACCAAGGGCCCUCACUUAUAUUUAUUUAUUUAUUUAUUUAUUUAUUUAUUUCAUAGAGACAGAGCAAUUGAGAGGGGCAGGGAGAUAGAGAGGAAGAGGAAAAUAAUGACCUCUCAUGGCACUUCCCCCCCUGCAGAUGAGGACCAGGGACUUGAACCUUGGUCUUCCACAUAGAUAGCAUGUGUGCUCAACUAGGUGUGCCACUGCCUGACUCCCUAGGGGCCAAUGUUGAUCUUAUUCAACCCAGCCACCAGCUUAUUCUUUUUUAUUUUCUCUAACCAGUGGUUCUCAACUUAGUUAUAUGCUAAAAUCACUCAGGGAAUGCUUAAGAGAAAAUUGAUGUUUGAGCCCAGUCCCAGACCAGUGAAAUCAGAGUAUCAGGGAAUGAGAUCUCAGGCACCAGUAGUGCUCCCUGGAUGUGUCCAAUGGGUAGCUAACAUUUGGGUCCUAUCUCCACCUGAGACACACACACACACACACACACACACACAGUCAGUCAGUCACACCAACACACCCUGUCCCCAUGCCCCUCCCGAGCUUUAUCAUCAGGCAGUAUGUGUAUCUUCAGUUGUGUCCCACCCUCCCUUUAUCACUAAAUUCCUUGCAGAAGUUGAGAAUUCAGGUUGGAAUUCAGAGCUCUGUGACCUGUCUCCUACUUCCCCCUGAGCUCUUCUCCAAGAGCUGGAACUGCAACUCCCUUUCCCUAGGCAUCUCCAAAGGAGAAAAUCCAGACUGAGAUCCUCCCAGAUGCAGGAAUCCUUAGGUGUGGGAGGGUGGGAGGCACAAUGUUUCAUUGACUCUUAUGUUUUUACUCCCCAAAGUAGUACUGACACUGUGGAGAAACUCUUAUCUGGAAUGCCGCCCCCCCUUCUUACCAGUCUGCACAGUUUUUGCUCCUCACCUGAGGCAGCGUUAUCUCCUUCACUCUGCAUAUGCCACGAGGGUGGGGCAAGCAUGCCAAGGUCAUGCAUCUGGCUAGCAGAGGUGCCCAGGUCCUGUCUUCCAGCCUGGUCCUCCCUGCCUGCCUAAUGUGUCUGCUACUUCCACCAGGAGUCUUCUCACAGGAGCAGGUCUGAUGCGGAUCGGGAGCAUUCAUAACUGCCCCCAUACCACAAAGGACAAUGAGAGGCAUGCCUAGGACUUGAGAUGUUCAGAUGUAAGAUGAGAGACAGAGAGAAGAGGAGGCAUCAUAGCACUGUUUCCCGUGUGCACAGUACUUCUAUGUGAUGACCAGAGGCUCAAACCCUGGCCCUCGAUGGCAAAGUGUGUGCUCUACCAGUGGGAUGCUUGAACCAGUGGCAUGAUGUCGGGCUGAGCUUCACUGACGGGAGACAGACGACCCGGGACUCAUGGCUGGAUUGUAUGCAGUAUCUCUUUAUUCAUGCUGGACGCAGCACAAUCUAAGCCGAACUAAACUAAACUAACUGAAAACAAUCUUGUCCUUAUAUAUAUAUAUAUACUAGCCAAGUAGGGUGGGGACAGGAUGUGACAUAGAGAGGGUGGAGAGAAAAGUGACUGGUGAAUAUCAGAAUGUGACAAGGAGAGGCAAGAAUUCCACCACUGAACCACCAAUGCCCUGGAGGGAGGGUGGUGCUUGUUAACAGUGGUUAUAUAAAUAGAAUACAGUGGUUAUGUAAAUAGAAUGCAGUGUUAAGCAGGGGGGAUUAAACCAAAUGAAACAGAAGAGGUUUUUAGAAGUAGAAUUAGAAGCAUACCAACAGCAUGACAGCAGGCCCUAACAGAAAGAGACUCUGGGCUUUGACUAGGGAACUGGAUAGGUGGGUAAGGGCCCGAUUCUGAGGUCCUUAUUAGUUGGGUGACCUCAGUAAUGUCACUUCAUGUCUUUCUGACCCUGACCUCCUUUCCUAGUUGUCCUAGCAUUAGACCAGUUGGGUGUGUUUGUUUAUGAGAAAAAGAGAGGGAGUAAGAGAACCAGAGCAUCACUAUGGCACAUGUGAUGCCGGAAAUUAAAUUCAGGACCUCAUACUUGAGUGUCUAACACUGUCUAUACACUGAGCCUCCAGAGCCACUUUAAAAAAAAAAAAAGAUUUAUUUAUUAAUGAGAAAGAUAGGAGGAGAGAAAGAACCAGACAUCACUCUGAUACAUGUGCUGCCAGGGACUGAACUCAGGACCUCAUGCUUGAGAGUCCAGCACUUUAUCUACUGCGCCCACCACCUCUCGGACCACCUUUUUUUUUUUUUCUUAAACUGUUUUUAUUUUUACUUUAAACAGCUAGGCAAAGGACUCUGUGACCCACCACUUCUUUCCCACAGGCCAAGUAUGAAUGCUACCCAGUGCUCCUGGGGGAGGGGAAGCAUGGGGGAAGCCAACUCUCCACCCUGCCCUAGCCUAUCAGUGUCCCCCGCCUGCUGCCCUGGACUCCAUCUCUCCUGAGGGAGCCGAGCUAGGCAUGGAGACCCUCUCUGAACACCUCCACAAGUGCUUCCUCUCUGUCCUGCCACUUAUGCCCCAGUCAAGUCCCUGAGCUGGGAUACUGCAUACCCUAGGUCACCAGAAACAGCUCAGCUCAGCCCUGUCUUACUCCCCCUGCCCAGGGGCUGGAAACCCUCUGAGAAGGAGUUCUGUUGUCCCUCAGUUGCCAUGCCCUGUGUAGGCAGGAAGUGGGCAUCACCCCCACAGACAGAGAUGGAGCCUGUGGACUGGAGGGGAGGACCAGGCUGGCAUAUGUAGGAGAACCCUGGGCACAGGGCUGCCUUCUGCUGGGUUCGUCCAUCUGGCACCAGCUGGCUUCCUGGCACCAACCCUGCAACCAAUCAGACUCCUUCUCCUGUUGCCAUGGCAACUAGCUGCCAUCUUGUUCUCUGGGCACUGUCUCAUACCUGGGCUUCCCCAAGGGCUUCCAGAGGUUGGGAGCCAGGUCCCCAAGGGUAUCUUUUCUCCUUUUGUCCAAGAAUGCUCAUAUUGAUAUGGAAUGUUCAAGAACCAAUGUGGAGGCUUGCUGUUGGGCAGGCUGCCUGUACCACCUGUGUUCUUGACUGUGGUUGGGAAAGCAAGAGUGGCAUCAAGUUUAAGAUGGUUUUAAGCUGGUGCCCCAUUUCUACAACAGAUUUUCACUCUGUCCAGCCAAAAAAAUCCUGAUCUUGUUUAUUCCUGCCUUAGGAAAUUCUUCCCUGUGUCUAACCAAGAGCUGCUCUGUUGAUGCUCCAUUUCCUUGCCCUUGGCUUGGUGUUAAUGAGAUAUAAGGAUGGAAAGGAGGUGGCACAGUGGAUAAAGCAUCGUACUCUCAAGCAUGAUCCCUAACAGUGCAUGUGCCAGUGAUGUUCUGCAUCUCUCUCUCUCUCUCUGAUAAAUAUAUCAUUUGUCUUCUUUAUUUCUUUUCUUCCUUCUUUUUUUUUUUCUUUUUAGGAUGGAAAUGGGGAGCUGGCAUCAGACAGAGUGGGCACCUUGACCUAGAGGGCCAACUCCAGGCUGGCUUUGUUGAGAGGCUCUGGAAGGAGGAGGAACAGGUGGAAAGAGAAAAGUGGUGGGUGGGCUGGAGGCAAGGAUCUGGGGAUAAAUUAUGAUUUCAUUAUUCCCCACCCUUCCACACCAGCCCUCUGUUACUGUACUGUUGCUAGGAGACCCUAGUGAGGCUGGGGGGGUUUAAGAGGGGUGCCUCUGCAUCUGGACUCUCUUUCCCCCUCUCCCCAGAGGAGAGCCCCCAUCUUCUCAGCCCUGGACAGGCACCAAUGUCUUCUAUUAUUUCCCCCAUCAGUUUAGGGAGAGUGGGAAUCCCAGGCAGACAGAGGGUCUUGAACAAGGGAUGGGAAAGGGGGCUAAGGAGGGAGAAGUGGCCAAGUUAGUUGGAGUGCUAAAGAAUAGCUGUCUUGUCUGGGGGCCUGUUGGGCCUGGCAGAAGGAAGGCCAGAGAGAGUAGGGGACACAAGUCCCAGGAACACAGCCCUUUAGGAAGUUGUAAUAUGAUGGGCAGGACAGACCUCCCACCCCACCCCUCUAGAAUAUGUCAAGGUCAAGAUUCAGGAAUUGGUAGAUAUGGUGGCUGGGGAUACAAGUCUGGAAAGUAGGGAACAUGUAGUGAGGAGGAUGGUGACAAUGACUUGAGCAGAGUUGGACAGUUGGGGAGGCAGCAUAGUAGUGAUACAAACAGAUUUUCAUGCCUUAGACUCCACAAAAUUCAAUCCCUAGCGCCACCAUAAGCCAGAGCUGAACAGCACUCAGAU